CCCCCCGCCUAAUUCCGUUCAGCAGCGCUCGUAAUCCGAAGGGUGCAAGCGUUAAUCGGAAUUACUGGGCGUAAAGCGCACGCAGGCGGUCUGUCAAGUCGGAUCUGAAAUUCCCCGGGCUCCACCUGGGAACUGCAUUCGAAACUGGCAGGCUAGAGUCUUGUAGAGGGGGGUAGAAUUCCAGGUGUAGCGGUGAAAUCCGUAGAGAUCUGGAGGAAUACCGGUGGCGAAGGCGGCCCCCUGGACAAAGACUGACGCUCAGGUGCGAAAGCGUGGGGAGCAAAACAGGAUUAGAUACCCCUGGUAGUCCACGCCGUAAACGAUGUCGAUUUGGAGGUUGUGCCCUUGAGGCGUGGCUUCCGGAGCUAACGCGUUAAAUCGACCGCCCUGGGGAGUACGGCCGCAAGGUUAAAACUCAAAUGAAUUGACGGGGGCCCGCACAAGCGGUGGAGCAUGUGGUUUAAUUCGAUGCAACGCGAAGAACCUUACCUGGUCUUGACAUCCACAGAACUUUCCAGAGAUGGAUUGGUGCCUUCGGGAACUGUGAGACAGGUGCUGCAUGGCUGUCGUCAGCUCGUGUUGUGAAAUGUUGGGUUAAGUCCCGCAACGAGCGCAACCCUUAUCCUUUGUUGCCAGCGGUUAGGCCGGGAACUCAAAGGAGACUGCCAGUGAUAAACUGGAGGAAGGUGGGGAUGACGUCAAGUCAUCAUGGCCCUUACGACCAGGGCUACACACGUGCUACAAUGGCAUAUACAAAGAGAAGCGACCUCGCGAGAGCAAGCGGACCUCAUAAAGUAUGUCGUAGUCCGGAUUGGAGUCUGCAACUCGACUCCAUGAAGUCGGAAUCGCUAGUAAUCGUAGAUCAGAAUGCUACGGUGAAUACGUUCCCGGGCCUUGUACACACCGCCCGUCACACCAUGGGAGUGGGUUGCAAAAGAAGUAGGUAGCUUAUUCUCGCGA
rnacentral:rRNA from 1 species